CAGUAGCCGCGGGAAUACGUAGGUGGCAAGCGUUGUCCGGAAUUAUUGGGCGUAAAGGGCUCGCAGGCGGUUUCUUAAGUCUGAUGUGAAAGCCCCCGGCUCAACCGGGGAGGGUCAUUGGAAACUGGGAAACUUGAGUGCAGAAGAGGAGAGUGGAAUUCCUAGUGUAGCGGUGAAAUGCGUAGAGAUUAGGAGGAACACCAGUGGCGAAGGCGGCUUUUUGGCCUGUAACUGACACUGAGGCGCGAAAGCGUGGGGAGCAAACAGGAUUAGAUACCCCAGUAGUCCCUGUCUCUUAUAC
rnacentral:rRNA from 1 species